AGCGUCUUUUAAUCAAACUAAAAAUGUCUGUUGCUGAUGCUAAAGACAAACCUGAAAUAUGUGUGUGGUGUGAAGAUAGAGUGGAAAUACGUCAGAUUUAAUGGCGCAUGAGUCAAAGAUUAGAGAAACUAAGAAGUAUGUAAGAUGAGAUAUACAAGUUAACGGCUGCCAACUUGUACAAUCGACAAGUUUUUCUUAAUUGCGGUGUAUUUUGGUAGAGUCAGCCAUGAAUUUAAUCUACCAGGGUGACACAAUAAUUAACAAGUUAUGCUUAAGAACAACUGAAUAACAUCGUCAGGAGUUGGAACUUUUAACAACAGCUUUGUGCCCUGAUGAAAUCUGUCACAUCACAUACUUCAGUCUACCUGGCUGAUAACAGGUUUUACUAGAAAGAUCAUGCAGUUGUAAAAACAAUUUCUCUGACAAAUCCAUCCAACCUGCUAAUAUUGGAUAAUUAGUAUUUUAUUGGAUUUGGAAAAUAUCUUGACUCUGUCAUACUUGGUAUCAAACCUCAAAAUAUUUUUGAAGUUAAUCAUUCACCAACUUCCUACAUUAGUAGUCUUCAGGUGUUUUGAUCACUGACUCUGUCAUACUUGGUAUCAAACCUCAAAAUAUUUUUGAAGUUAAUCAUUCACCAACUUCCUACAUUAGUAGUCUUCAGGUGUUUUGAUCACAAAAUAAAGGCUUUCUUUUUAAAA